AAAUUCACUCAAAUAUUUCCAAUUCGCAGCAACUGAUUUACUUCACUCAUUCAAGCUGGUAAUUUUAAUAACUUUUGAAAAGUUAUUUCAUUUCAAGCAUAUCAACAAUUUUCUGCAUUUUCGCCAAAACCAAGGCUAAACAUCAAAAACUUUGUUUUCAAAAUCCAAUCAUGCAUACAUCUAUUUUUCUGUAAUUUAUAUAUUGCUAAAUACAUGAAAAAGAAAAUAGAAUAAAUCUUAUAUAUUACAUAGGAUAAAAGAAAAGGGUUAGAGAUGAAGAAGGAAUUCUGGAGUGUUGCCGCCGGCGCUACGCGCCACGGCGACCUGAGAGGUAGGGGACAAGGGCGGCGGCGCGGUGGCCACGGCCGCUGCUGUGCUGUUCUGAUCGGGGCAGCGAGAAAGGGGCCUGGGCGGCGCCGCUGUCGACGCAGGGGCGGCGAUGGUGGUACUGCUAUCGGCUAGAAGGGAGAAGGAAGGUGAGGGUGACGCCGGGCAGGAGGUGGUGGCGGCGAGGGUCGCCGGAAAUGGAGGCGCGGCCGCGGCUUGGCGCGGCGAUGAGAGGGGUAGAAGGGAGACAACAGCAGAUGAGGAAAAAGGAGAGUGAGGGAGGGAAGUCGAUGAAGGGGAAGAGAGAGGACAGGGGGAGGCAGAGUCGCCGGCCGUCCGGUGGCGCGGUGGUAGGAGGCCGAGAGGGAGAGAGAGGGGUGGAGAGAAGAGAGAGAGCGGCAGUGAGAGGGAGAGUGAGGUUAUGCGUGGGUGUUGAGGUAUGAGAUUUAAUUAGGGAUUGUUAGAUGGGCUUAGGAAUGGGCUUUAUUUGGGUCUUAAUUUUAUUAAUUGAAUUGGGCUUCUAAUUUAGUUAAUUCUUUUAAGUAGUGAGCAUAAUUUAUUUAAGCCCAUAGUUACUCUUUUAAUUAUUAUUCCCAUUUCAGAUUUUCUAAAAAAAAAACUUAUAUAAAUAAUUUUCUCAAGUUUAAUUAUAUUUAAAAUAUUUUAAUUAAGUCCUUAUGUUUUAUUAUUUAAAUUUAUCUGACUAGGUGCGGCGCGACUAGGAUAUGAAUUUUAAUUGUAUUACUCAAGUUAGCAUUCAAGUUGAAGUUCAAGUUCAAGUUAAAUUUUCAGGUGUGGGACUUAUUUCAGUACAUGCACGUGGUUAAUAUUUGUCCAUUUUAAUAUUAUGUGUUUACCGUAUGUGUUGUAAAAAUAUUUAUCGCUAGGGGCCAGCAUAAUUGGUCCAGGACUUCACCGUCUUUGGUAUGCCACAAUGCGAUUUCAUGUUACAGGGUUGCAACCAUUAUAUUGUCG
rnacentral:lncRNA from 1 species